AUUGAACGCUGGCGGCAGGCCUAACACAUGCAAGUCGAGCGGAGCGGCGGACGGGUGAGUAAUGACUAGGAAUCUGCCUGGUAGUGGGGGAUAACGUCCGGAAACGGGCGCUAAUACAGCAUACUCUCAGAUGAGCCUAGGUCGGAUGAGCUGGUUGGUGGGGUAAAGGCCUACCAAGGCGACGACCAGUAACUGGUCUGAGAGGAUGAUCAGGCACACUGGAACGGAGACCCGGUCCAGACUCCUACGGGAGGCAGCAGUGGGGAAUAUUGUACAAUGGGCGCAAGCCUGAUCCAGCCAUGCCGCGUGUGUGAAGAAGGUCUUCGGAUUGUAAAGCACUUUAAGUUGGGAGGCGUUACCAACAGAAUAAGCACCGGCUAACUUCGUGCCAGCAGCCGCGGUAAUAC
rnacentral:rRNA from 1 species